UUUACAUUUAAACAGUUACAUUGACCGAUGCUGAAGACGGAAUAAAAUAUUUGCUCUAGACUAAGUGAUCUAAAAUGGAAGAUAUAAGGAUCAUUGUGGUUAUGACCUUCUGUUGUUUGAUAACUUUAGAUCAUGUUCUGUUGCAAAUGACCAGUUCGAAUUUUACCGAGGAAAACAAAAAUGUUUCAACCGAAAUUUCGAAUAAUGGAACACAUUUCACAAAAGGUCACACGGAGCAGAGUUCAACACCCAUCAUUGGGACAAGAGUUUUAACUAAAGCAU